ensembl:processed_transcript Gm28447 predicted gene 28447
CCAAUCUCCAAAUUUAUUAAUUUUGCUUAGGAUGCAAAGACACACAGUCAUUCAGUAUGUAACACGCUCUAAGGGUAGAUACCCGCUGUCAUUCACUAUAGUAUAUGCUCUCCCAACAUGCAUCCUGGUGAAGACCCUUACUGGUGUUGAAGGUCUGCGCUGGCUUGGCAUGUGUACUCCUUCUCUCCAAGCUGGGUUGAAAGUGUGCUCUGAGACGCCCAGCAGAGGUGGUAAGUGUGCGGAAGGAGGGUUGGCAUCAGGCCAAACAGUGCCCUCUGGGGCAGCUCUUCCGUGGAGGGGAUUUCAAGCACUUCCGGUGGGAGACUCCGUCUUUCUCCCUGACUGGAAAUGCACAGGGGCCUUUGGAGCAAAGGAAGCCAUUGAGUAGCUGCCCUCUUUGAAAAGGCUCAGAAUUCUUAGGAAAGGAGAAAGGGAUCUCUCCGGAUGGUGAGGACGCGGGCCCUGGGAAUCAGACCCCACACUGUGGACUCCUGUAGUGUGUGUUUAAUGGAGGAGAGAGGCUUCCCUUGCUGAGCGAGGCUGGGGUAGCCACAGAGAGGCUGAGGCUCAGGCAGGAGUGGGAUGUCUUCCCGGAGCCUGGAAAUAGCCUCUGAGGAGCAUUUCACUGUAAAAGCCUUAAAAUGCUUAUUAAGCUAGCCCUCCCCAAGGAAGCAGGUCAGCGCCUUCUCUGCAUUUCUAAACGACAAUAGAGGACUCAGAUGGCUGGCUCUAUCCGGCUGCAGAGCUGGAUAGAAGCCACCAGAGAGACCGGGAAGCACGGAGAAGUCCACAACAGGCCACAGAAUCCAAACAAGGAGUUAGAAACCUGGGUAUUCUCCUCUUCACAGCUCUGACGCUGGCUCUCUAAGCAUCUUCUCUUGGGAGCUCAGCGUCCACAUCUCUAAAGCGUGAGAGGUUUGGGUAAGCGAGGGCGUCUCACAGACCCUGUUAUUGAGCCUAGGUGUAUGGAGUCUUCU